GAACGUACGCUGGCGGCACGCCUAACACAUGCAAGUCGAACGAAGUAGCAAUACUUAGUGGCAGACGGGUGAGUAACAUGUAGGUAUCUGCCCUUUGGCCUGGAAUAACACGAGGAAACUUGUGCUAAUACCGGAUAAGUCUUUACAGAGAAAGCUUUAUGCACCAUUGGAUGAGCCUGCACUUGAUUAGUUUGUUGGUGGGGUAAUGGCCUACCAAGACUGUGAUCAAUAGCUGAUUUGAGAGGAUGAUCAGCCACAUUGGGACUGAGACACGGCCCAAACUCCUACGGGAGGCAGCAGUGGGGAAUCUUGCACAAUGGAGGAAACUCUGAUGCAGCGAUGCCGCGUGAGUGAAGAAGGCCUUUGGGUUGUAAAGCUCUUUCGUCGGGGAAGAAAAUGACUGUACCCGAAUAAGAAGGUCCGGCUAACUUCGUGCCAGCAGCCGCGGUAAUACGAAGGGACCUAGCGUAGUUCGGAAUUACUGGGCUUAAAGAGUUCGUAGGUGGUUGAAAAAGUUAGUGGUGAAAUCCCAGAGCUUAACUCUGGAACUGCCAUUAAAACUUUUCAGCUAGAGUAUGAUAGAGGAAAGCAGAAUUUCUAGUGUAGAGGUGAAAUUCGUAGAUAUUAGAAAGAAUACCAAUUGCGAAGGCAGCUUUCUGGAUCAUUACUGACACUGAGGAACGAAAGCAUGGGUAGCGAAGAGGAUUAGAUACCCUCGUAGUCCAUGCCGUAAACGAUGUGUGUUAGACGUUGGAAAUUUAUUUUCAGUGUCGCAGCGAAAGCGAUAAACACACCGCCUGGGGAGUACGACCGCAAGGUUAAAACUCAAAUGAAUUGACGGGGACCCGCACAAGUAGUGGAGCAUGUGGUUUAAUUCGAAGAUACGCGCAGAACCUUACCAACACUUGACAUGUUCGUCGCGACUCUAAGAGAUUAGAGUUUUCGGUUCGGCCGGACGAAACACAGGUGCUGCAUGGCUGUCGUCAGCUCGUGUCGUGAGAUGUUGGGUUAAGUCCCGCAACGAGCGCAACCCUCACUUUUAGUUGCCAUCAUUAAGUUGGGCACUCUGAAAGAACUGCCAGUGAUAAGCUGGAGGAAGGUGGGGAUGACGUCAAGUCCUCAUGGCCCUUACGUGUUGGGCUACACACGUGCUACAAUGGUAUCUACAACAGGAAGCAAGACUGCGAAGUUAAGCAAAUCCCUAAAAGAUACCUCAGUUCGGAUUGCACUCUGCAACUCGAGUGCAUGAAGCUGGAAUUACUAGUAAUCGUGGAUCAGCGUGCCACGGUGAAUGCGUUCCCGGGUCUUGUACUCACCGC
rnacentral:rRNA from 1 species